AUCGCUUCUCGGCCUUUUGGCUAAGAUCAAAGUGUAGCGGGCCGAGAGUUUUGAGUCUUAAAGUGCGUCCCCGGGACACCGUUCGUUGCGUGGCCCCUGGGGUUUCCUUUUCUGCCAGUCAUGGCAACGCCUUCC
rnacentral:snRNA from 1 species